rnacentral:rRNA from 1 species
GAUGAACGCUGGCGGCGUGCCUAAUACAUGCAAGUCGAGCGAACGGACGAGAAGCUUGCUUCUCUGAUGUUAGCGGCGGACGGGUGAGUAACACGUGGAUAACCUACCUAUAAGACUGGGAUAACUUCGGGAAACCGGAGCUAAUACCGGAUGAUAUUUUGAACCGCAUGGUUCAAAAGUGAAAGACGGUCUUGCUGUCACUUAUAGAUGGAUCCGCGCUGCAUUAGCUAGUUGGUAAGGUAACGGCUUACCAAGGCAACGAUGCAUAGCCGACCUGAGAGGGUGAUCGGCCACACUGGAACUGAGACACGGUCCCGACUCCUACGGGAGGCAGGCGUUGGGAAUCUUUCGGCAUUGGCGAAAGGCUGACGGAGCAACGCCGCGUGAGUGAUGAAGGUCCUCGGUUUGUAAAACUCUGUUAUUAGGGAAGAACAUAUGUGUAAGUAACUGUGCACAUCUUGACGGUACCUAAUCAGAAAGCCACGGCUAACUACGUG